UACAUGUCUUUUACUGAUUUGCAUUCCAGAUCGCAACAUAUAACUUUAAAGUAAAUUUUUGUCCGGAGCAUAACUCUAGAUAUACUGAAGGGAUUUACUUGAAAUAUAAACAGAUGGCAACUAGGAGAAGUGCAGUGACCAAGAACCACAACUCUAUCUACCUUAGUUUUUGAAUUAUCUCCCCUUUUAUAUAAUUUUAAGUAAAUUUUUGUCCGGAGCAUAACUCUAAAUCUACUGAAGGGAUUUACUUUAAACUUGAAAUAUAAACAGAUGGCAACUAGGCGAAGUGCAGUGACCAAGAACCACAGCUCUAAUUACCUUAGUUAUUGAAUUAUUUCCCCUUUUAUAUAAUUUUAAAGUUAAUUUUUGUCCGGAGCAUAACUCAAAAUCAACUGAAGGGAUUUACUUGAAACUUAAACAUAUGGCAAGUAGGAAAAGUGCAGUGACUAAGAACCAUAACUCUAUCUACCUUAGUUUUUGAAUUAUCUCCCCUUUUAUAUAACUUUAAAGUAAAUUUUGUCCGGAGCAUAACUCUAAAUCUACUGAAGGGAUUUACUUGAAAAUUGAAAUAUAAACAUAUGGCAACUAGGAGAAGUGCAGUGACCAAGAACCAUAACUCUAUCUACCUUAGUUUUUGAAUUAUCUCCCUUUUAUAUAAUUUUAAAGUACAUUUUUGUCCGGAGCAUAAGUCUAAAUCUACUGAAGGGAUUUACUUGAAACUUGAAAUAUGAACAGAUGGCAACCAGGAGAAGUGCAGUGACCAAGAACCACAACUUUAUCUACCUUAGUUUUAAUUAUUUCCCUUUUAUAUAAUUUUAAAGUAAACUUUUGUCCGGAGCAUAACUUAAAAUCUACUGAAGGAAUUUACUUGAAACUUGAAAUAUAAACAGAUGGCAAGUAGGAAAAGUGCAGUGACUAAGAACCAUAACUCUAUCUACCUUAGUUUUUGAAUUAUCUCCCCUUUUAUAUAAGUUUAAAGUAAAUUUUGUCCGGAGCAUAACUCUAAAUCUACUGAAGGGAUUUACUUGAAACUUGAAAUAUAAACAUAUGGCAACUAGGAGAAGUGCAUUGACCAAGAACCAUAACUAUAUCUACCUUAGUUUUUGAAUUGUCUCCCCUUUUAUAUAAUUUUAAAGUAAAUUUUUAGUCCGGAGCAUAACUCUAAAUCUACUGAAGGGAUUUACUUUAAACUUGAAACUUAAACAGUUGGCAAGUAGGAGAAGUGCAGUGACUAAGAACCAUAACUCUAUCUACCUUAGUUUUUGAAUUAUAUCCCUUUAUUAUGCCCCCCUUCGAAGAAGAGGGGGUAUAUUGCUUUGCUCAUGUCGGUCUGUCGGUCGGUCUGUCGGUCCGUCCACCAGGUGGUUGUCAGACGAUAACUCAAGAACGCUUGGGCCUAGAAUCAUGAAACUUCAUAGGUACAUUGAUCAUGACUCGCAGAUGACCUUUAAUGAUUUUGAGGUCACUAGGUCAAAGGUCAAGGUCACGGUGACCCGAAAUAGUAAAAUGGUUUCCGGAUGAUAACUCAAGAACGCUUAGGCCUAGGAUCAUGAAACUUGAUAGGUAGAUUGAUCAGGACUCGCAGAUGACCUCUAUUGAUUUUGAGGUCACUAGGUCAAAGGUCAAGGUCACAGUGACCCGAAAUAGUAAAAUGGUUUCCGGAUGAUAACUCAAGAACGCUUAGGCCUAGGAUCAUGAAACUUGAUAGGUAGAUUGAUCAUGACUCGCAGAUGACCCCUAUUGAUUUUCAGGUCACUAGGUCAAAGGUCAAGGUCACGAUGACCCGAAAUAGUAAAAUGGUUUCCGGAUGAUAACUGAAGAACGCUUAUUCCUAGGAUCAUGAAACUUGAUAGGUAGAAUGAUCAUGACUCGCAGAUGACCCCUAUUGAUUUUCAGGUCACUAGGUCAAAGGUCAAGGCCACGGUGACCGGAAAUAGUAAAAUGGUGUCCGGAUGAUAACUCAAGAAUGCUUAUGGCUAGGAUCAUGAAACUUCAUAGGUACAUUGAUCAUGACUGGCAGAUGACCCCUAUUGAUUUUCAGGUCACUAGGUCAAAGGUCAAGGUCACAGUGACAAAAAACAUAUUCACACAAUGGCUCUCACUACAACGGAGAGCCCAUAUGGGGGGCAUGCAUGUUUUACAAACAGCCCUUGUUUAAUUUCAAAGUAAAUUUUUGUCCGGAGCAUAAUGAAUUAUCUCCCUUUAUUUGUUUUUACAAAUACUAUUCUACUCUCUAAAACAAAUGUUGUCAUACAAGCAAAUGCAUUUCGGCAGGGAUUUGGCACUACUGUGACAAGCUCUUUUUUGAUAAGGGUAUGGCUGGAAACUGGAAACAAGAAGGUGAUUUUGAGCUUGCAUGGAGUCCUAGUUUGUAUUUGGGUAAGGUCAAGGUCACCAGUGUUUUUCAGCUCACCUGAGCACAACAUGCUCAUGGUGAGCUUUUGUGAUUGCCUUUUGUCCGUCGUCCGUCGUGCGUCGUCAACAUUUGCCUUGUGAACACUCCAGAAGCCACAUAAAUUGUCCGAUCUUCAUGAAAUUUGGUCAGAACAUUGGUCUCAAUUAUAUAUUGGAUGAUUACGAAAAUGGUUACAUUUGCUUUUAAAACAUGGCUGCCAAGGGGCGGGGCAUUUUUCCUUAUAUGGCUAUAGUAAAAUCUUGUGAACACUCUAGAGGCCACAGUUAUUGUCUGAUCUUCAUGAAGCUUGGUCAGAAGAUUCAUCCCAAUAAUAUCUUGGACGAGUUCGAAAAUGAUGCCGGUUGGUUGAAAAAAAUGGCCGCCAGGGGGCGGGGCAUUUUUCCUUAUAUGACUAUAGUAAAACAUUGUUAACACUCUAGAGGCCACAUUUAUUUUCCGAUCUUCAUGAAAUUUGGUCAGAAGAUUUGUCCCAAUGAUAUCUAGGAUGAGUUCAAAAAUGGUAACCUUUGCUUGAAAAACAUGGCUGCCAAGGGGUGGGGCCUUUCAUUACAUGUACAUGUAUAUGGCUAUAUAUGACUAUAGUAAAAUCUUGUUAUCACUCUAGAGGCAACAUUUAUUGUCCAAUCUUCAUGAAACUUGGUCAGAAGAUUCAUCACAAUAAUAUCUUGGACGAGUUCAAAAUGAUGCUGGUUGGUCGAAAAACAUGGCCACCAGGGGGUGGGGCAUUUUUCCUUAUAUGGCUAUAGUAAAACAUUGUUAACACUCUAGAGGCCACAUUUAUUUUCCAAACUUCAUGAAACUUAGUCAGAAGAUUUAUCCCAAUGAUAUCUUGGAUGAGAUUGAGAAUCGUAACCUUUGCUUGAAAAACAUGGCUGCCAAGGGGCGGGGCAUUUUUCCUUAUUUGGCUAUAGUACAAUCUUGUUAACACUAGAGGCCACAUUUAUUGUCCAAUCUUCAUGAAACUUGGUCAGAAGAUUCAUCCCGAUAAUAUCUUGGACGAGUUCAAAUAUUAUCCCGGUUGGUUGAAAAACAUGGCUGCCAGGGGGCGGGGCAUUUUUCCUUAUUUGGCUAUAGCAAAACCUUGUUAACACUAGAGGCCACAUUUAUUUUCUGAUUUUCAUGAAACUUGGUCAGAAGAUUUGUCCUAAUAAUCUCUUGUUAUCUCAGGUGAGCGACUUUGGGCCUUUCAUGCCCUCUUGUUCUUCUUUAUAUUGGCUUCACUUGGCGACUUGGCUUCGAAUAGUAGGUCACUAUGUGUAAGCUAAGAAAAAUAGUGUGAACACUAGAAGCUAUAUGUAUUGCCCAAUCUUUUAUGAAACUUGUUGAGAACAUUUGUCCCAAUAAUAUCUCAGAUGAUUAGAGACUGGGUAAUGUAGGAAAAAAAACUAGAGUAUUGGGUCAGAUAGAAGAAACUCUCCAGUCAUAUUUGUGAAUGCAAUCUACUUUAAACUUGCUUUUAUCAUUUUUUAUUCAUUUUUUUGAGUGAGUUGUGGUUCAUGCCCAUUGAAAAAAUAUGGUCACCAUGAGGUGGGACAGUUUUCUUUAUGUUUCCUUAUACAGUAAACAUGUUAGAACACUCACAUUUUUCAAAUUUUCAAAUCGUGAAACUUGCUUGAAAAACUUUGUUGUCAUUAUAUCCUAUCUGAGUUUGAACAUGAUUGUGGUUAAAUAAAACUAAUGUCGUCCAGAUAUUUGGGCAGUUUGUUUAACCUUGUGAAUAACUGCUCAGACAUGUUGAGUUCUUUUUGGUCUGGGAUGAUCACCUUGGGGCCUUUGGCUACUUGUUUGAAAAUGUUGGGCUUUCUUGCAAACAAUUAGUUUUUGGAAACUUACCAAUUUUUGUUGUCCUAUGUUAAUAAUAUGUAGUCUGAAUUGCAUUUGAAGUGCUGACUGCUUUUGAUGUUAGUAUUUAAUAUGGUGCUGCAGACAAAGUAAUUCUGAGAAAUUAUGUCAUCAAUUAAUAAAU